UAAUACCGCAUAGUAUCUGUGGAUUAAAGGUGGCUUUUGGGCUGUCGCAGAUGGAUGAGCCUGCGUUGGAUUAGCUAGUUGGUGGGGUAAGGGCCUACCAAGGCUACGAUCCAUAGCUGAUUUGAGAGGAUGAUCAGCCACAUUGGGACUGAGACACGGCCCAAACUCCUACGGGAGGCAGCAGUGGGGAAUAUUGGACAAUGGGGGUAACCCUGAUCCAGCAAUGUCAUGUGUGUGAAGAAGGCCUUAGGGUUGUAAAGCACUUUAGUUGGGGAGGAAAGCUUUGAGGUUAAUAGCCUUGAGGAAGGACGUUACCCAAAGAAUAAGCACCGGCUAACUCCGUGCCAGCAGCCGCGGUAAUACGGGGGGUGCAAGCGUUAAUCGGAAUUACUGGGCGUAAAGGGUCUGUAGGUGGUUUGUUAAGUCAGAUGUGAAAGCCCAGGGCUCAACCUUGGAACUGCAUUUGAUACUGGCAAACUAGAGUACGGUAGAGGAAUGGGGAAUUUCUGGUGUAGCGGUGAAAUGCGUAGAGAUCAGAAGGAACACCAAUGGCGAAGGCAACAUUUUGGACCGGUACUGACACUGAGGGACGAAAGCGUGGGGAUCAAACAGGAUUAGAUACCCUGGUAGUCCACGCUGUAAACGAUGAAUACUAGCUGUUGGGGUCGGUGUAAAGGCUCUAGUGGCGCAGCUAACGCGAUAAGUAUUCCGCCUGGGGACUACGGCCGCAAGGCUAAAACUCAAAGGAAUUGACGGGGACCCGCACAAGCGGUGGAGCAUGUGGUUUAAUUCGAUGCAACGCGAAGAACCUUACCUGGUCUUGACAUCCUGCGAGCUUUCUAGAGAUAGAUUGGUGCCUUCGGGAACGCAGUGACAGGUGCUGCACGGCUGUCGUCAGCUCGUGUUGUGAAAUGUUGGGUUAAGUCCCGCAACGAGCGCAACCCCUAUUGAUAGUUACUAUCAUUAAGUUGGGUACUCUAUUGAAACUGCCGCUGAUAAGGCGGAGGAAGGUGGGGACGACGUCAAGUCAUCAUGGCCCUUACGACCAGGGCUACACACGUGCUACAAUGGGUAUUACAGAGGGCUGCGAAGGAGCGAUCU
rnacentral:rRNA from 2 species